GCCAUCAGGUUAAGCUGGGACGUCUAAAGGAACUGCCUACGCAAGUAGUGAGGAAGGCGGGGAGUGACGUCAAAUCAGCACGGCCCUUACGUCCAGGGCUACACACGUGCUACAAUGGCCGAUACAGAGGGCAGCUACCUGGUGACAGGAUGCAAAUCUCCAAAGUCGGUCUCAGUUCGGAUCGGAGUCUGCAACCCGACUCCGUGAAGUUGGAUUCGCUAGUAAUCGCGGAUCAGCAUGCCACGGUGAAUACGUUCCCGGGCCUU
rnacentral:rRNA from 1 species